AAGGCAUGAACUGAGAAGGGAGCGAGAAAGACGUCACAGUGGCCUCAGGGACUGAGGGCUAUAAAUACGGGCUUGGAAGGUGGGCCGAGAGUCAGUCAUCAACCAUUUCCAGAGAAGACCUGACCUGAUCGUUCCACCAUGGCUAGGACAAGGAGAGUCAGACGUCGCCACCUAAGAAGCCAAUAUGAGAUGGAGGAGAGAAGGUCAGGUGUGAGAACCUCCCGGCCCAGGCGUCGCUUGGCUAAGCGGAGGAGGAGAACUACCAAACGCAGCAGGAGGUAUAGUACUCGCCUGAGACGGUGCUGACCUCCCAGCUCCAGGCCAGGACCCUCCAGGACCCUCCAGGACCCACAACCCUGUGAGAACCAGCCAGAGAAGAUCAAGACCAGUUGAUCCAACAUAAGAAUCCACAGGCCUCAAACAUCUUUCAGGGCCCAUCAUUGUACUGUUUUGAGUGUAAUUAAAGUGACUUAAGCAGA